rnacentral:rRNA from 1 species
GAUGAACGCUGGCGGCGUGCCUAAUACAUGCAAGUCGAACGCUGAAGGAAGGAGCUUGCUCUUUCCGGGUGAGUUGCGAACGGGUGAGUAACGCGUAGGUAACCUGCCUGGUAGAGGGGGAUAACUAUUGGAAACGAUAGCUAAUACCGCAUAACAGUAGAUGUUGCAUGAUAUCUACUUAAAAGGUGCAAUUGCACCACUACCAGAUGGAACUGCGUUGUCUUAGCUAGUUGGUGAGGUAGCGGCUCACCAAGGCGACGAUACAUAGCCGACCUGACGGGGGGAUCGGCCCACCCGGGAAUGAGACACGGCCCAGAAUCCUACGGGAGGCAGCAGUAGGGAAUCUUCGGCCAUUGACGGAAGGCUGACCCAGCAACGCCGCGUGAGGGAAGAAGGUUCUCGGAUCGGAAAGCUCUGUUGUAAGAGAAGAACGAGUGUGGGAGUGGAAAGUUCACACUGUGACGGUAUCUAACCAGAAAGGGACGGCUAACUACGUG